GACGAACGCUGGCGGCGUGCUUAACACAUGCAAGUCGAACGGAAAGGCCCUGCUUUUGUGGGGUGCUCGAGUGGCGAACGGGUGAGUAACACGUGAGUAACCUGCCCUUGACUUUGGGAUAACUUCAGGAAACUGGGGCUAAUACCGGAUAGGAGCUCCUGCUGCAUGGUGGGGGUUGGAAAGUUUCGGCGGUUGGGGAUGGACUCGCGGCUUAUCAGCUUGUUGGUGGGGUAGUGGCUUACCAAGGCUUUGACGGGUAGCCGGCCUGAGAGGGUGACCGGCCACAGUGGGACUGAGAUACGGCCCAGACUCCUACGGGAGGCAGCAGUGGGGAAUAUUGCACAAUGGGCGGAAGCCGGAUGCAGCAACGCCGCGUGCGGGAUGACGGCCUUCGGGUUGUAAACCGCUUUCGCCUGUGACGAAGCGUGAGUGACGGUAAUGGGUAAAGAAGCACAGGCUAACUACGU
rnacentral:rRNA from 1 species